AACGUGGGUAACCUGCCCAUCAGAGGGGGAUAACAUUCGGAAACGGAUGCUAAAACCGCAUAGGUCUUCGAACCGCAUGGUUUGAAGAGGAAAAGAGGCGCAAGCUUCUGCUGAUGGAUGGGCCCGCGGUGCAUUAGCUAGUUGGUGAGGUAACGGCUCACCAAGGCCGUGAUGCAUAGCCGACCUGAGAGGGUGAUCGGCCACAUUGGGACUGAGACACGGCCCAA
rnacentral:rRNA from 1 species